rnacentral:rRNA from 1 species
GACGAACGCUGGCGGCGUGCUUAACACAUGCAAGUCGAACGAAGAGCGAUGGAAGCUUGCUUCUAUCAAUCUUAGUGGCGAACGGGUGAGUAACGCGUAAUCAACCUGCCCUUCAGAGGGGGACAACAGUUGGAAACGACUGCUAAUACCGCAUACGAUCUGACCUCGGCAUCGAGGAUAGAUGAAAGGUGGCCUCUACAUGUAAGCUAUCACUGAAGGAGGGGAUUGCGUCUGAUUAGCUAGUUGGAGGGGUAACGGCCCACCAAGGCGAUGAUCAGUAGCCGGUCGGAGAGGAUGGACAGCCACAUUGGGACUGAGACACGGCCCAGACUCCUACGGGAGGCAGCAGUGGGGAAUCUUCCGCAAUGGACGAAAGUCUGACGGAGCAACGCCGCGUGAGUGAUGACGGCCUUCGGGUUGUAAAGCUCUGUUAAUCGGGACGAAAGGCCUUUUUGCGAAUAGUGAGAAGGAUUGACGGUACCGGAAGAGAAAGCCACGGCUAACUACGUG